UGCCCCAUGGCUGAGUUGGUUACAGCGUCCGACUGUUAUUCUCCAGACCAGGAUACUUACAAUCGGAAGGUCGUGAGUUCGAGCCUCACUGGGGCAG